GGUUCAAUGGUCUAGUGGUUAUGAUUUCUGUCUUACAAAUGUAAUUACACAGAAGGUCUCCAGUUCGAUCCUGGAUUGAACCA